ACUCAAAUGAAUUGACGGGGGCCCGCACAAGCAGUGGAGUAUGUGGUUUAAUUCGAAGCAACGCGAAGAACCUUACCAGGGCUUGACAUAUACAGGAAGUAGUGAGAGAUUACUACGCUCUUCGGAGCUUGUAUACAGGUGGUGCAUGGUUGUCGUCAGCUCGUGUCGUGAGAUGUUGGGUUAAGUCCCGCAACGAGCGCAACCCCUGUGAUUAGUUGCCAGCACAUAAUGGUGGGAACUCUAAUCAGACUGCCGGUGAUAAAUCGGAGGAAGGCGGGGAUGACGUCAAAUCAUCAUGCCCUAUAUGUCCUGGGCUACACACGUACUACAAUGGCCGAAACAGAGGGAAGCGAAAUAGAGAUAUGGAGCAAAACCCCAAAACCGGUCUCAGUUCGGAUUGAAGGCUGAAAUUCGCCUACAUGAAGCUGGAAUUGCUAGUAAUGGCAGGUCAGCAUACUGCCGUGAAUACGUUCCCGGGCCUUGUACACACCGCCCGU
rnacentral:rRNA from 1 species